rnacentral:piRNA from 1 species
UAAACUGCGAAAUAAAAGACAGUUGAUU